CUUUUUAAUAAUCUAAAGCACCCUUUCCACUAUAAAUAACCAUUUUGCAAAUUAAUGUUUAAGGUUCUUAAUGAAACCAUCCAUGCAAAUAAAGAACCUUUAUUUUUAAGUGCAAGAACAAUUUUAGGUUCUCCAAAGAACUAUUCUUAAAAGAUCUAGUUUUUCUUAGUGGGAGGAAUAUUUUGAAAAUCUAAAGAACCUUCUUCCACUGUUAAGAACCUUUUGUGGAAUGAAAGGAAUUCAUGAAUGCUUAAGGUUUUUCGCUGAAACAGUGAUGUCAAUGAAGAGGCUUUAUUUUUAGGAGUGUAGGCUCUGAUAGUGUAGUUACAGCAUUAGCAAGGGUUAAUGGGACCGUGUUAACCAGCUAAACCUCAUUAGGGACAGGCUUAGGACUAUGUUUAUUUGACAGGAAUCUUGUUUCACAGGGUUUCUACACCUUUUGACCAAUGAAUUUCCAUGACUUUUCCAGUUGCUUGUGAUUUCUGGAUAAGUUUUUAGGAACAGAGAUUGCACCCACAAAGAGCAAUUUCUAACUGAUGCAAUAUAUUAAAGAUAAGCAUAAAUGAUUUUCCAUUGUUUCCAUUAUAGAAUGGGGUUGAAAUUGGAUCAGGUUUUUAUGUGAUUCCAGGUGGAGCGAGAGAUGUUGAUCCAAGAAAGCAUCCUCCUUGCGGGCACUGUGUUACACGUAAUGCAUGCAGAGAUACACACAGUCCUGCUGUCACACACACACACACACACACACACACUCAGAUACAGAUGGACAGACGUGCCACAGAAGGCAGCAUACGGUUCCUUGAGGCUAUUAAACGCCGGCCGCCGCGUCACUCGAUGCCCUAAAGGCCUGACAGACAACACUAGUACAAGCAAACACUCUCUGAUAUCCACUGACCGGUUCAGCCAAUGGUGUGUAAACAUUCAGCAGUAAAAGCAGAUGCAUCGCAUGUGUUUGAAUGCGAUGGCCCGCGGCACGCCUCAGGCUUUCCCAGCAGUCUCUGCGCUGCCAGUUCUCCACGAGUGGAUGCUCACGGCAGACAUUAAGCGGUUAAUGCUCAACUAGUUUAGUGAUAUCACAUGCGGGGUUAUUGACCACAUCCUCCUCCUCACAGCGGAUGGUUGAGCUUUUAGAUGUGUAUCUGCACCAUUCAUGGACCUUCUCCGUCUUAAACAAACAUUGUGUAAUCAGUCACGGGAAUACUCAAGCAAUAUGAAUCAAUUUGGAAAAAAGACUUUCCACAUUAGUGCUGCUGUCAAGCACAAAUUACAAUGAAAGCAUGCUGAUGAAAUGAGCUGAUUGGAAAAGGUUUGACUAAAGCAGGGCCAUUGCUAGAAAUACAUGUUUUUUGGGUCCCUCUCAGUUCCUGCAGUGUUGUGGAUGGUAAAUCAGAGACUGUCACUCAAAGCUGAAAUACCUGGACACUGUCUCUCUGAAACCAGGCUGACAAAGAGAGGCCAGAGAGACAAGAGCAGUCGACAGGAGCGCAGGGACUGUGCCGCCGCAAGCAGCGCUGCAGUAUUAAAGAGCAUCAGAAAGCUCAGAAGCACACAGAACCCACAUCCACUGAAAGACUGAAAAAAAUGACAUCAGUUCCAAAUCUGCAUUUUUAUUCCAAUCUCACAAAUUCCCUCCAGUUCUGUCAUGAACUUCAGUUUGUGUGUAUUUCACAACAGCUUUGAAUGCAGCUCAUCCGAGUCAUAACUGUCUGUUUAUAUACUGUACAGUAGUGAAGUUUGUCCUUUAUUCAAACAUAUUAUUAAAAAUGUCUUAAUGAUUUUGUAAGCAUAUUACAUAGUUGUGCUUGGUGUUAUUUUAGUAUCAGUGAUAUAGUAUUACAUUUUUUGUUAUGUUAUUAUUAGAUUUUAUUUUUUAUAUUUUAUUUUUUUUAUUUGAAUUUAAGUAGAAGUUUUAGUAAUUGUAAUAAUGUAGUGUUUUUGUCAUUAUAAUUGUUAUUUUAACUAGGUUUUUAGUAAAUUUGAGUUUUGUUUUCAUUAUUUCAGUACUUCCACUUAAACUAAAUCAAAAUGAGAACUGUUGCCUGGUCAAAUAGUUGAAAUAAAAUGUUUAUUUAUUUUUAUUUAUUUAUUUUAUUUUAUUAUUUUUUUAUUUUUUUUGCAUUUCAUAUAAUAUUUUAUUUCAAAUAAUGAAAUUUUUUUUCUUCUUCUUCUUCUUCUAUGGUUUAAGUUUUAUUUUAAACAUAAUAAACCUGACUGGAGUGUAAAACUGAUGUAAUUGUAUAAUCUGUGAUAAUGAAACCAGACAAAUUGUGUUGACAUAAUUUUUACCGUGCAAAAUGUAGAGCGCUAAGCCGGUCAAAGAAGACCGGCGAGCAUUUUGACUGGAGGUUGAGAAUCACCUCAAUGUAUGAACAUUUCAAAAUAACCUCCAAAUCUCGGAUGAGACGUGCAAUUGUGAGGAACCUCCAAUUUCAUCUUGCAUUUGCGUGUAUAGAGGAUCUGUCUGGAGUCUGAGCAUGUCAUUUCUAACACAAAACCACACACACCACGCAUGCAGUGAAGGCAUUUCUCAAUCACACUGAAAUAUUUGGAAAAUUCUAAACCUGAAUCGAACCUGAUGGAUGAAUAUCAGUGCUGGGAAGAACUUAAGGAAGAAUUUAUCCAUGGCAUAUGAAGAAAGCUUAUUGAGUAAUGCUCAGAAUAAAAGAGGCUGUAAUCCAGAACCAAUGAAAUACUAAUAACUGAUUAUUUUAUAGUCAGUGUGUGCUUUAUUUUGAUGCUUUUGCUUUUGCUUUUUGUUUUUUCUAUACUUUUUGGGGAUCGUAAAUAUGAGUACUCCAUGAUAAACCUGUUUUUGCCUUAAUCAAGUUUAGUGUUUUAUUUCUCCCAAUAACAUACACUUCAUAUUUUGAUGCUUUAAUUGAACUUGUAGGGUCAUUAAAAGCAAAUAUUGUGCAAGUAUCCCCUCCAGACAUCACUUUUGGCCACUUCUUUGUGUCAGUGCAGUGUGAACAUUCACAGAUUUGAGAAUGAAACAGAUUCACUCUGCAAAUGACUCUCUGAUUAGAUUUUAAAGACCUUGAUUUAUCAACUUUAUUUAAGAACAGGUGCAGCCGUUUGUAACUUGAGUGUGCGGUUUUUUACUCGUUCUAGUUAUUUUACACAUACAAAAACUGUCCAGUUUGCUGCUUUAUAGUGCAAACUGGUAUUUGUCAUCCAAUUAUUUUAAUUUAUUAUCAUAAUCAUAAACACACUGGUUUAUAGAGCAUAGUUUUACCAUUCACCACAACACAUAAGUAAGCUGGUUGUUGUGAAUGUGUAAGACUUCUGAUUCAUUAGUCUAUGUGUGUGGGUUUUUCUGAUACUUUGAUGCAUCAGGAGCGUAUCUGUACCAUCCUCCCCCUUGUUGAAAUGACAAUGACAUGCUUUCUAAUCAGGCACGGUUUAAAAUGUCCAUGUGAAAUGCAGUCAUCAAAGCCGGCCAGCAGUCCAUUAGCAAGGCAGGAAGAAGAUUGUCUCUGAAAUGAAGUCAUUAGUUACGCAAACCCCACCACCGAGUGCUUGUUUGCAUGAAUCGGUUUGGAUCUAUCUGCUGCCGCGAUGACUGUUUUACAACUGUUGAUGUUUUAUGACUGUUCCCCAGUGAAGCGGAUACUUGUGACAUGCGCGUGGCUCGUUCUCGUGCUGAUCAGAGUCUGACGUCGGUCUGAAUGGACCCAGUUAGGGCGGAAAUUACUGCCGAGGAGAGGGGCUAAUAACUGUUAUUAACCCUGCGUGGACGUGGCCGUGGAGUGAGCGGCACGAUAACGAGGGCCCGCUGUCAGAGUUCUGAGGUUCGACGCGGAGCCACUCGCCCCCUAGGAGAAGCUAACUUAUUAAAAUAAUGAAUUAGCCCACCAGAUUACUGGAGCCUGCGGCAAAGGCAAUUAUCCCUCUCCAAAUCCCCGACCGGGGCUCCCCGACGCUGCCAUAAAACAAGCGCUCGCAAAGCACGGCAACAGAAAGCCCAUUCUGAUGAAAAGGCUGUUAAUUAGGAUCUCUCCCACCGCGGGCGGCCCUUUACUGCCGCCAUAACACGAGCCCGCGAUGAAGAAGAGAAGCCGUCUGAAACUGUGUGCAGAAAUGAUGCGGGAGUAUCAAACAGGAAUGAAACUGUAGAGAUGAUUGAGCAAAUUGAGUUUGUGUGUGUGUGUGUGUGUGUGUGUGUGUGUGUGUGUGUGUGUGUGUGUGUGUGUGUGUGUGUGGCCCAAAAGGGUCAUUAAUCCCAUAUGCCAAUCUCAAGAGAUAAUAAGUGAAAUUCACUCUAAGAAAAGGACUAUAACAGGACAGCGGAGUAUGCUACUGUGAUAAUAAUAAUGGAUCAUACCAUGUAAUAGUAUUUUAAAAUAAAUAGAAUAAUAACUUUUAAACUGAGGUGGAAAACCUUUCCAUCUCAUUGGUGUCAUUAGUUGUGUGUAGGGCUGCAUCAUUCCGGAGGAAGAGGAUAUUGCAGUAUUAUGUUUUUCUGCAAUAUAUAUUGCGAUAUGAAAAGAUGACUUGAAAAACCCUGUUUGGAAACAAUUAAUCAUUCUAGAACGUUUCUGGUGAUUAUGUAGGCGUUGAUGGUUCUUUGCAUCUGCAUGGAAAAUAUU
ensembl:lncRNA